AUGGUCUUCAAUAGAGAACCUCUCAAAACAAGAGCAGGCAAAACAGCACCCAUCAGAAAUCGUGUACGUUUGGUUCGAAAGCAGAAGCUCGGGAACAGAGGUCUUUUGUCUCUGAUGCUGUCUAAACCUGAUGACAUGUGCAAGGUACAGGCUAAUUGACUUCCAGUCACCUGCAGCGUUGGAAUUGUUCCUAUUGCAGCUUCUUGCUGCUGCUCUCAGCCUUGCAGUGAAUUUGGAAUUUUACCUGUGAGGUUUCUACAUCAAUGUCUGCAUGAAGACCUUGAGACCCCCCUGAAGCUCUCUUUGAAAAACAAGAAGAAGAAAAACAUACACCUGAAUGAAUAUUUAAUAGCUGGGUAGACAGGGCCCAGGAGAUGAGACCUGGAGGUUCAAGUUGCAAUUGGGUCUGCUUUUGAGGAGCGCCUUGAACCCGAACUUCUGACAGCUGGAUGAAAGAUGCAGUCAACAGACUUGUGCAGUCUGUCUUGAAGCUGCUUCUCUUUUUUUGGAAUAAAAAUAAAGAUUAUUAUUACAAAAUAUGACUGAGUUAAUGGUCACUGGUGCCAUCACUAAUUUAUCCAUCUCACUUUCUUUGAAAGCUUUAUUCAAAUCGAUAUUUUUCUGUGAAAGAUUUUGCUUUCUCCAAGACAGAUUAAACUGGGAAUACUGGAGAGUCUAAAAAUUCCCCAACCCAUGCAAUUCCAUUGAGCCAUCUUCUUUUAACCUUCUUAGGUGAACAUCUGCACUUAGCAUCAGAAAACAUUUUGCUUUCCUGUAGGGUUGCAGACAUUUACCCAUCCCUGACUUGAAAUAUAGAUUUUACUCAUAUAUUCAGACCCACAGCUGAUGUUGAACUAAAUUCCUUGAUCUAGC
rnacentral:lncRNA from 1 species